GGGCCGAUCGUCUAGCUUGGUUUGGACAUCGCUCUGACACGGCGAAGGUCCCCGGUUCAAAUCCGGGUCGGCCCACCA
rnacentral:tRNA from 1 species